GGCGACAACAGGAACACCUCCGCCGCCGUGGAUACCGGAAUCCUUCUUGGAUCCGAGCAGGAGGAGUACAUGCAAACGGCGGGCGGGCCAAGGCCGGGCCAGGACCGUUCUUCCGAGUCGGGCGACGGGCGCGGCGUCUGGUGUUGCGACGUGGGAGGGAAGCGGUGCGGCGACCGGGUAGGGCAGCGGAGCGCUUGCUGUUUCCUUUCCCUUCCCUUGUUCCUUCGAGGUGGAGCGGGCCCAAGCCCGGUUUAUCAAAGAGAGUUAGAGGAUGCGCAGGCUUACUUCACUACUUCGGAAGGGGACGGAUUGCGGCGUGGUGGUGAGCGGGCGCCGGGCGGGGGUGUGACGACGGAUGUGGAUGAAGUCGCGGCUGCGGACGGGGCCGAGCUGACGACGGGGCGGCAGCGGAGAGGGGCGAGGCGACGGCGUGGUGGCGGGCGGACGGGCGCGCGCCUUCUGCCGCAGAUGGCGGCCUGGUGGUGGGCGGAAGGGGGUGUGGCGACCGAUGUGGAUGGGCCCGCGGCGGCGGUGGCGGACGGCGGGCCGGUGACGCGGCUCGCUGACAGGAACUAUGGAAAGUUAGAAACGAUACAGCGAAGGAGGG
rnacentral:misc_RNA from 1 species